AAAGUUUGACUCAUUUUUUUAAUUAUUAAAUGAAGAUUUAGUUACUUGUUACACAUAAUCGUUAAAUUUUGAUUAUAAAAGAAUUUGUUGCACAUAAUCACAGUCAUUCAUUGCACAUGAGUGAAACAUUGAGCUUGGAAAUUAUUUUUGGGAACUUUCUCACGCGUAAUGGUUAUGAUUGAAAAUUUUUAUUUCUUUUCUUUCAUUGUUCACUCUUGAAGGUUUCUUGUACUCUUACCACAACACAACAUCCGUUUCUUCCCCCUUUUUAUCCAGGGUAAAUAAAGGCCUAUGUCUCAUCACCUUCAGGCUAUAUGCAUAUCUUGUAGAAAGUUGUUCUGCUUUUGGUUUGUGUCCUUUUAAUCUGUUGACAUGUGAAAGUCUGCUUCUUUUUCUUUCACCUUUUACUUUUCAGCUUUUGGAUAUCAGGCUUUGAGGAACACAUGAUUACAUUGUACUAGUCAUCAUCAUUUUCUGCUACCCUUGGAUCAAUUAUAUUACAGCAAUGCUUUCAGUUCUAAUUGCUCCUCUCUGAUUUAUGUGACUGCCAGCAGCCUUUUCUUUUAUUCUAAUGCUGAAUUCUCUAAUUAAAGCUUUAUUGUUACCGAGUUUAAUCGAUGGUUUAUUAGAUAUUUUGUGCAUCCAUCCAUGCUGCAAAUUUGUUUCUGAAAGAAAUUUAGCCAACAAAAAUAUUCCUAUAUGUCCUCUUACUUGCGUUCUCAACACUGUUUAGUCAUUUGUUAUGUGUGCUUUCAUAUAGCUUUGAUUUAUCUGAUUUACUUGAUCACUCACGCAUCAAAUACCUUUCUUGGUUCUAAAGUUAAUAGAUUUAAGGAUUUGUUAGGGAUCUAUUUCUUCAUCUCAGCUUCCCAAUAUCUUCUUUGUAUAAUCAGGUGUACUUUGGAAUUCUGAAUAGUUAAUGUAGCGACAUCAUUAUGACACUCAAUGCUCCCACCUCCACAAAUCAUCACUGCUGAAGUGGGUUGUCACAUGAUGAGUAGACUAUAUAUCCUGCUUUACCUUUUACCUUCUUUGAGAUAUCUAUUGCCCCAUGUGAUCACUGGUUAAGAAAAUGUCUCUCACUAGCGCGCAGCCAAGGUGAGCUUAUACUCCUAUAUGAAUGUAUAAUGUGAUUAUUAGGUUUUUCCACACCAAAAAAGGGGGUUCAGGUUUUAGAACAAGGCAAUCAUUCAUGAAAGAUUAGGGAUCAGCCUUGGAUGCAACCUAGGCUUCUGCUCUAAUGAUCUCUUCAUGCUAUUUCUCUCGAAGAGCGUUGGAUCAGACAUUUACUUGAUGAAUACAACUAGCAACUAGGACUUUUGGAAUGAAUAUUUCUUUUCCUGUAAACUUAUUCAGCAUAUCAGUUUCUGAAGAACUAUCUGCAAGAAAAAAAGAAGAAAAAAGCUACAAGCAGUUGUUUAUGAGUUAUGAUUUCAACAUAGAGGUUAAACCAUGUUUUGUGAUACUGUGCUAUUCAUGUUCUUAAAAAUUAUAUAUUUGUUUGGCGUAAGUUUGUUUAUAUAUUCUACAUUUUUACUGGUUUUCAUUCUCAUUCUGGAUCUAUUUGAUGAGUCUGUAAGAUCUAAAAAGUCUUCCCAUUGGCAUGCGUGCCCCUCUUAUUUUUCAAUGUCAUUAGAAUAUGAGUUAAUAGUGUCAUAUUUGCUCAUCAAUGCCAUUUGACAAAGAGCAAAGGGCGUUGGGCUCGUAUUCAAAGUAUUAUCAUAUUAGAAAGGAAGAGAAAGAAUUGUUAAGUAUUUUUCGGAAGGUCAGAAACAUUUGCAUCAUUAAUCUCAUCUCAACUGAGGGCUUGCAUUUCAUAUUCAAUUUCUUGGGAAGGAUCACGUAAGAGGUUUUGUCAACUUCUUGCAAAGGAUCAUUUCACGGGAUUUGUUGACAAAAUAUCUUUGUGAUGGUAAGUCAAUAUGUGUUUAUUGGCUUAGACGUCAAAAGACUAUAAAUAUUUUUUAAAUAAAUUUAUAAUUAAAAUAAAUCUAGAUAAAGUUUGUUUUAUACAAUCAUUCCUAAUACAUCUAGUUAUUUUACUUUCGUAACUAUAAAGAUAUUAAUAUAUAUUUUUUAUAAUAUAUCAAAGAUAAUUAACUAUAAGCGUUAAUUUGUAAUUAGCGACUUUUUUUUAGUAAGCAUAACUCUAUAAGAUAGUAUAUAUCAAAAAACUUAAAAUUCUAUGUAGAAAUAGUUUGAAAUGCUGAUUUGCAUAUGUAAGAAGCAUAAUAAAUUAAUGGACUUCUACACCAUAUAUAUAUAUAUAUAUAUAUAUAUAUAUAUAUAUAUGUAUUCUCACAUUGCACGUUAUCGUAAUAUAUACAUGUAUUCUCACACCACAUGUCGUCAUAAUAUAUAUGUAUAUGCCCAUACCGCAUGUCAUAAUAUAUACAUGUGCACUCCUACAUCGCAUGUCACAAUAUAUACGUGUACCCUCAUAUCAUAUGUUAUGAUACAUAUAUACACAUCAAAUAUAUACAUGUACUUUCACACCACACGUCAUAAUAUAUACGUGCACUCUCACAUCNNNNNNNNNNNNNNNNNNNNCCCUAGGCACGAGUGGUACCACCGCCUGCGCUGGGCGGUACCACUGCCCAGUGUCAGUUUGGCUGACAUUGUCUUGGGCGGUAUCACCGCCCAGGUCUGGCGGUACCACCGCCUAGGUGGCUGUGCUGGGCGGUACCACCACGUGGCACCUUGCCAAGGGUGGUACAACUGCCCAGACUAACGAUACCACCGCUUGACAUAGUCUCGAAGACUGUGCCAUGACGGUAAGUCUUAUUGGGGCACUUUUUGGGCCUCUUAUUGGGCCCAAAACAGUUCUUACAUGGGCUUAGCUGGACCCUAAUUGGGUUAGCACAAGUCCAAUCCCAAUUACAUGCUAACUACAAUUCCUAAGACAUAUUAUAAGCUAAACAAAUCCCUAUGUCAAUUCUUCCGACGAGCUUCCGGCAAACCUUCGACGAACUCUCGGCAAUGUUCCGACGGACUCCCGGCAAGCUCCUGGACUUCACGACGAUCUUCUUGGCGAGUUCCGACGAGCUUCUCUGGCAAGCUCCGCAACUUCUCGGCUGGUUCCCGCAGAACUUCCGACGAACUUCCGACGAACUCUCGAACCCCCAACGUGAUCAUGAUCUUGACUCUGGUGCAACUCCUGCUGCAUGUCUUACUGCCAUCGUAGUUAAUCCUGCACAUGUAAAACAUACUUCGAUUUAGACAAUUAAUACUAAGCAUUAAUCAAGUUGUCCGGCAUGUCAUUGGUCCCUCGACGCUUUGUUUGAUUCUUUGGCGCAUCGUCCUCUCCUACGGCCUAUUGCCCAAUCGACCAGUUAACUCUGCAACUCCGAUAUCCUUGGCGCAAUACCCACUCUUCUUGGCUCGAUGCCCGAAUCCACAGUCCGAAGCCUUCUGUCGAUACGUCGACCGAUCCACCGGCCCGACGUCCAAUCUUCUGACAUGUUCCUCCGACCCAACAUGAUUUUUCCUACUUUAAUUGUCUCAUCCUGAUCGAAGCAUCCUGCGUCACUCAAAACGUAGAUUAAAAUAUAAACACAAUUAUCAAUUGGUUUCAUCAUCAAAAUACGAGAUUUAACAGUAACAUAUUUGUGCACUCUCACAUGAUCAUAUAUGCAUGUAUACAAGAUAUUUUUAUCGUAAUUCAUAUAUUUUUUAUACUUACAAAAUACAUACAUUCAUAUUUAACUCACAACAAUCAUAUCGUAUGUCAUCAUAUAUUGCAUACAAGAUAUUUUUAUCAUAAUUUAUAUAUUUUUAUACUUACAAAAUACAUAUAUUUAACUCAUGACGAUAAACCUUCUCCGCUUCUUUCGAGAUCUUUCUCUUUCCUCCCUUUGCUCCUUUCUCUCUUCUUUUUCCUCCUCUCUAUUUUUAUAUAUCUCCUUCCUCUUUUCUUUCCCUUUCUUUCCUUUUCUCCCUUCCUUUCUUUCCUUCUUCUAUAUUCUUCCCUUCUAACCUACAGCCUCAUCCUUCUCUUUUCUUCACUUAUCCUCCUCCCCUUUUUCUCCCUUUUUUUUUUUCUUCCUCUCUUUCCUCUCCUCCUUCACUUUCUUCAUUCUCUUCCUCUCUUUGCUUCUUCUUUAUUCUUUCCUUCUUCCCUAUAGCCGCAACCCCCUUCUCUUCUCGCUCCUCUUCUCCUCCUCCCCUUUCCACCAUCGCAGCCUCCCUUUCUUCUCUUCUCCUCCUCCCCUUACCAUCGUCUCAGCCUCCCCCUUUCCACCGUUGUAGUCUCUCUUCUCUUCCUCUCCUUUGAGGUGAUGGUGGGAAGAAAAGCCUUUUUUUUUUUUACCUUUUGUAGUUUAAUCUAUGUAAUAUCUAUAUUUAUAAAUAAAUCUUUAAAAAGAUAAAAAAUAUUACCUUCUUUCUUUUAAAAGAAGAGUUUAGUUUUAUGUAUCUAAUUCGAAAACUAAUCAAGAUUGAUAUAUCAUCAAUUAUAUAUUU
rnacentral:lncRNA from 1 species